UGGGCUUGUGGCCAGGGCUGGGGGCUGUGCCAAGCCGGCCUUUGGCCUGGGGGCUCUUGGGGAGGGCGCAGGGAGGAGUCCCGGCAGGAUAAAGGUGCUCCUCACCUGGGGCAGCCUCAGCCAGCGCUCCCCACUCACUGGCAGAGGAGGAAGAGGAAGAUGAAGGUGGCUGUGCUCGCCGUGGCCCUGCUCUUCUCCAUCCUGCUGUGCCCCCCGGCUGAGGCUGGCACACGAUGCUCCCAGGAUCUGAGACGGGGCUGGGUUUCUCACCAAGGCUUCGGCUCUGGGGGACGAUUCCCUCCUCCAGGGCACCACGGGCGCGGACACAGGGGGCGGUUCCAUCACCGUGGGGGAAGCCACAGUUCGGAGGAGCGAGAUGAGAGCGAGAGCCUCUCCAGUGAGGAGGUCUGAGG